rnacentral:rRNA from 1 species
GUGCCAGCAGCCGCGGUAAUACAGAGGGUGCGAGCGUUAAUCGGAUUUACUGGGCGUAAAGCGUGCGUAGGCGGCUUUUUAAGUCGGAUGUGAAAUCCCCGAGCUUAACUUGGGAAUUGCAUUCGAUACUGGGAAGCUAGAGUAUGGGAGAGGAUGGUAGAAUUCCAGGUGUAGCGGUGAAAUGCGUAGAGAUCUGGAGGAAUACCGAUGGCGAAGGCAGCCAUCUGGCCUAAUACUGACGCUGAGGUACGAAAGCAUGGGGAGCAAACAGGAUUAGAUACCCUGGUAGUCCAUGCCGUAAACGAUGUCUACUAGCCGUUGGGGCCUUUGAGGCUUUAGUGGCGCAGCUAACGCGAUAAGUAGACCGCCUGGGGAGUACGGUCGCAAGACUAAAACUCAAAUGAAUUGACGGGGGCCCGCACAAGCGGUGGAGCAUGUGGUUUAAUUCGAUGCAACGCGAAGAACCUUACCUGGCCUUGACAUACUAGAAACUUUCCAGAGAUGGAUUGGUGCCUUCGGGAAUCUAGAUACAGGUGCUGCAUGGCUGUCGUCAGCUCGUGUCGUGAGAUGCUGGGUUAAGUCCCGCAACGAGCGCAACCCUUUUCCUUACUUGCCAGCAUUUCGGAUGGGAACUUUAAGGAUACUGCCAGUGACAAACUGGAGGAAGGCGGGGACGACGUCAAGUCAUCAUGGCCCUUACGGCCAGGGCUACACACGUGCUACAAUGGUCGGUACAAAGGGUUGCUACACAGCGAUGUGAUGCUAAUCUCAAAAAGCCGAUCGUAGUCCGGAUUGGAGUCUGCAACUCGACUCCAUGAAGUCGGAAUCGCUAGUAAUCGCGGAUCAGAAUGCCGCGGUGAAUACGUUCCCGGGCCUUGCACACACUGCCCGUC